rnacentral:rRNA from 1 species
GCAUGGUUCAGACAUAAAAGGUGGCUUCGGCUACCACUUACAGAUGGACCCGCGGCGCAUUNUCUAGUUGGGGAGGUAACGGCUCACCAAGGCGACGAUGCGUAGCCGACCUGAGAGGNUGAUCGGCCACACUGGNCCUGAUACACGGCCCAGACUCCUACNGGAGGCAGCAGUAGGGAAUCUUCCGCAAUGGACGAAAGUCUGACGGAGCAACGCCGCGUGAGUGAUGAAGGUUUUCGGAUCGUAAAGCUCUGUUGUUAGGGAAGAACAAGNGCCGUUCAAAUAGGGCGGCACCUUGACGGUACCUAACCAGAAAGCCACGGCUAACUACGUGCCAGCAGCCGCGGUAAUACGUAGGUGGCAAGCGUUGUCCGGAAUUAUUGGGCGUAAAGGGCUCGCAGGCGGUUUCUUAAGUCUGAUGUGAAAGCCCCCGGCUCAACCGGGGAGGGUCAUUGGAAACUGGGGAACUUGAGUGCAGAAGAGGAGAGUGGAAUUCCACGUGUAGCGGUGAAAUGCGUAGAGAUGUGGAGGAACACCAGUGGCGAAGGCGACUCUCUGGUCUGUAACUGACGCUGAGGAGCGAAAGCGUGGGGAGCGAACAGGAUUAGAUACCCUGGUAGUCCACGCCGUAAACGAUGAGUGCUAAGUGUUAGGGGGUUUCCGCCCCUUAGUGCUGCAGCUAACGCAUUAAGCACUCCGCCUGGGGAGUACGGUCGCAAGACUGAAACUCAAAGGAAUUGACGGGGGCCCGCACAAGCGGUGGAGCAUGUGGUUUAAUUCGAAGCAACGCGAAGAACCUUACCAGGUCUUGACAUCCUCUGACAAUCCUAGAGAUAGGACGUCCCCUUCGGGGGCAGAGUGACAGGUGGUGCAUGGUUGUCGUCAGCUCGUGUCGUGAGAUGUUGGGUUAAGUCCCGCAACGAGCGCAACCCUUGAUCUUAGUUGCCAGCAUUCAGUUGGGCACUCUAAGGUGACUGCCGGUGACAAACCGGAGGAAGGUGGGGAUGACGUCAAAUCAUCAUGCCCCUUAUGACCUGGGCUACACACGUGCUACAAUGGACAGAACAAAGGGCAGCGAAA